CAGGAAGUCAAGGCCGAGAGCAGCAGUCAAGGCCAAGUGGGCGAGGUGGUCUGCUUGCAAUCUAUCCUAGCCGAGCAUAUCUGUGCCAGGUGCUGUCGCUGCCCUAGGCACGCCAAGGAACAGAG